rnacentral:rRNA from 1 species
UACGUAGGUGGCGAGCGUUGUCCGGAUUUAUUGGGCGUAAAGGGCUCGUAGGUGGCCAACUAAGUCACACGUGAAAUCCCUCGGCUUAACCGGGGAACUGCGUGUGAUACUGGAUGGCUUGAGUUUGGGAGAGGGAUGCGGAAUUCCAGGUGUAGCGGUGAAAUGCGUAGAUAUCUGGAGGAACACCGGUGGCGAAGGCGGCAUCCUGGACCAAUACUGACGCUGAGGAGCGAAAGCCAGGGGAGCAAACGGG